GAUGAACGCUGGCGGCGUGCCUAAUACAUGCAAGUCGAGCGAACAGACGAGGAGCUUGCUCCUUUGACGUUAGCGGCAGACGGGUGAGUAACACGUGGGUAACCUACCUAUAAGACUGGGAUAACUUCGGGAAACCGGAGCUAAUACCGGAUAAUAUUUCGAACCGCAUGGUUCGAUAGUGAAAGAUGGCUUUGCUAUCACUUAUAGAUGGACCUGCGCCGUAUUAGCUAGUUGGUAAGGUAACGGCUUACCAAGGCAACGAUACGUAGCCGACCUGAGAGGGUGAUCGGCCACACUGGAACUGAGACACGGUCCAGACUCCUACGGGAGGCAGCAGUAGGGAAUCUUCCGCAAUGGGCGAAAGCCUGACGGAGCAACGCCGCGUGAGUGAUGAAGGUCUUCGGAUCGUAAAACUCUGUUAUUAGGGAAGAACAAACGUGUAAGUAACUGUGCACGUCUUGACGGUACCUAAUCAGAAAGCCACGGCUAACUACGUG
rnacentral:rRNA from 1 species